rnacentral:rRNA from 1 species
UGCCAGCCGCCGCGGUAAGACGGAGGGCGCAAGCGUUGUUCGGAAUUACUGGGCGUAAAGCGCACGCAGGCGGUUUGCUAAGUCCUUUGUGAAAGCCCGGGGCUCAACCCCGGAAUUGCAUGGGAUACUGGCAGACUGGAGACAGGUAGAGGCUAGCGGAAUUCCUGGUGUAGCGGUGGAAUGCGUAGAUAUCUGGGAGAACGCCAAAGGCGAAGGCAGCUUGCUGGGUCAUAACUGACGCUGAGAGACGAAAGCUAGGGGAGCAAACAGGAUUAGAUA